rnacentral:rRNA from 1 species
UACAGAGGGGGCAAGCGUUGUUCGGAAUUACUGGGCGUAAAGGGCGCGUAGGCGGCCACCUAAGUCAGACGUGAAAUCCCUCGGCUCAACCGGGGGAACUGCGUCUGAUACUGGGUGGCUUGAAUUCGGGAGAGGGAUGCGGAAUUCCAGGUGUAGCGGUGAAAUGCGUAGAUAUCUGGAGGAACACCGGUGGCGAAGGCGGCAUCCUGGACCGGCAUUGACGC